GUUUAUUAAGUUGGGGGUGAAAUCUCCGGGCUCAACCCGGAGCUCGUUCUCAAAACUGGUAGACUUGAGUAAGGUAGAGGCUGACGGAAUUCUGCAAGUAGGGGUAAAAUCCGUUGAUCUGCAGAGGAACACCAAAAGCGAAGGCAGUCAGCUGGGCCUUUACUGACGCUGAGGGACGAAAGCGUGGGUAGCGAACGGGAUUAGAUACCCCGGUAGUCCACGCCGUAAAUGAUGGAUACUGGACAUUGGUACUCGAUCGUAUCAGUGUCUCAAGCUAACGCAUUAAGUAUCCCGCCUGGGGAGUACGGUCGCAAGAUUAAAACUCAAAGGAAUAGACGGGGACCCACACAAGCGGUGGAGCAUGUGGUUUAAUUCGACAAUAAGCGAGGAACCUUACCAGGGCUUGACAUCCCGAGAAUUCUUUAGAAAUAGAGAAGUGCCUUUAUGGAACUCGGUGACAGGUGCUGCAUGGUUGUCGUCAGCUCGUGCCUUGAGGUGUUCGGUUAAGUCCGUAAACGAGCGCAACCCUAGUCCUAUGUUGUAUAUUUCAUAGGAGACUGCCUUGUCCAACGAGGAGGAAGGUUAGGAUGACGUCAAAUCAGCAUGGCCCUUAUGUCCUGGGCGACACACGUGCUACAAUGGUCGGUACAAUGGGUAGCCAACCCGCGAGGGGGAGCCAAUCCCAUCAAAGCCGGUCCAAGUUCGGAUUGGAGGCUGCAACUCGCCUCCAUGAAG
rnacentral:rRNA from 1 species